UUUUUCUCAUCAUAUUCUGGCAGCUGGAGCACCUUAGUCUUGAAGGAACAGCCAUCUCCAUAAGUGAUGUUCAACUGCUUUACAAAAUAUGUGGUUCUUUCAUAAAAGUCAAAGAGAUAAGCCUAAAAAUGCAAGGAAAGAAGUUCACUACGAUUCCCAAGGAGCAUUUCGGAGGUGGUGAUGAGGGCUGAAGAACUGGCUGAAGACUCUCGCAUCGGUAUCUAGUCCAGGUCAUCUCGAACCCCGUCACACGGGCCCGGACGCGUGUCUGGUUGGCUUGUCACUGGUUGUGAUGACUGGUCUAGAAGUGUACCUGGAUUCUGGCGUUGACAAUGGGGACAUUGAUUACUGAACACCAUUCCUCCCCCUUUUUUAUUUUUGUUUUAUGCUGUUUUUCUUGUUUUUGUUGUCUGUCUCUAUAUUCUGCCUAAUUUUUCCACAGAAAAAAUGCUUUCCAAUCCACCCUCGCUUUCUUUUUCCCUUUUUUACAGUCAUAUUUUUCAAGUUUUUGUAAUUUCUCAAUUCGACUCAAACCGAAACUGCUGUUUUCAUGGAACCCAGAGUGUUUAAUAAACAACUGUAACCGCCAA